rnacentral:rRNA from 1 species
CAUGAAGCUGGAAUUGCUAGUAAUGGCAGGUCAGCAUACUGCCGUGAAUACGUUCCCGGGCCUUGUACACACCGCCCGUCACACCAUGAGAGUUGGGAAUACCCGAAGCCUGUGAGCCAACUUUUAAAGAGGCAACAGUCGAAGGUAGAAUCAAUGAUUGGGGUGAAGUCGUAACAAGGUAGC